ACGUUAGUUGCUAACGCGUGAAGGCGAGCACUCUAGACGAACUGCCGUUGACAAAACGGAGGAAGUGGGGAUGACGUCAAAUCAUCAUGCCCCUUAUGUUCUGGGCUACACACGUGCUACAAUGGCCGGUACAGACGGACGCAAAGCCGCGAGGUGGAGCAAAUCCUAAAAAGCCGGUCUCAGUUCGGAUUGCAGGCUGCAAUUCGCCUGCAUGAAGUCGGAAUCGCUAGUAAUCGCAGGUCAGCAUACUGCGGUGAAUACGUUCCCGGGCCUU
rnacentral:rRNA from 1 species